rnacentral:rRNA from 1 species
GAUGAACGCUGGCGGCGUGCCUAAUACAUGCAAGUAGAACGCUGAAGGAGGAGCUUGCUCUUUCCGGAUGAGUUGCGAACGGGUGAGUAACGCGUAGGUAACCUGCCUGGUAGCGGGGGAUAACUAUUGGAAACGAUAGCUAAUACCGCAUAACAGUAGAUAUUGCAUGAUAUCUGCUUGAAAGGGGCAAUUGCUCCACUACCAGAUGGACCUGCGUUGUAUUAGCUAGUUGGUGAGGUAACGGCUCACCGAGGCGACGAUACAUAGCCGACCUGAGAGGGUGAUCGGCCACACUGGGACUGAGACACGGCCCAGACUCCUACGGGAGGCAGCAGUAGGGAAUCUUCGGCAAUGGACGGAAGUCUGACCGAGCAACGCCGCGUGAGUGAAGAAGGUUUUCGGAUCGUAAAGCUCUGUUGUAAGAGAAGAACGAGUGUGAGAGUGGAAAGUUCACACUGUGACGGUAUCUUACCAGAAAGG